rnacentral:rRNA from 1 species
GACGAACGCUGGCGGCGUGCCUAAUACAUGCAAGUAGAACGCUGAAGGAGGAGCUUGCUCUUCUGGAUGAGUUGCGAACGGGUGAGUAACGCGUAGGUAACCUGCCUGGUAGCGGGGGAUAACUAUUGGAAACGAUAGCUAAUACCGCAUAACAGUAGAUAUUGCAUGAUAUCUGCUUGAAAGGUGCAAUUGCAUCACUACCAGAUGGACCUGCGUUGUAUUAGCUAGUUGGUGAGGUAACGGCUCACCAAGGCGACGAUACAUAGCCGACCUGAGAGGGUGAUCGGCCACACUGGGACUGAGACACGGCCCAGACUCCUACGGGAGGCAGCAGUAGGGAAUCUUCGGCAAUGGACGGAAGUCUGACCGAGCAACGCCGCGUGAGUGAAGAAGGUUUUCGGAUCGUAAAGCUCUGUUGUAAGAGAAGAACGAGUGUGAGAGUGGAAAGUUCACACUGUGACGGUAUCUUACCAGAAAGGGACGGCUAACUACGUGCCAGCAGCCGCGGUAAUACGUAGGUCCCGAGCGUUGUCCGGAUUUAUUGGGCGUAAAGCGAGCGCAGGCGGUUAGAUAAGUCUGAAGUUAAAGGCUGUGGCUUAACCAUAGUACGCUUUGGAAACUGUUUAACUUGAGUGCAAGAGGGGAGAGUGGAAUUCCAUGUGUAGCGGUGAAAUGCGUAGAUAUAUGGAGGAACACCGGUGGCGAAAGCGGCUCUCUGGCUUGUAACUGACGCUGAGGCUCGAAAGCGUGGGGAGCAAACAGGAUUAGAUACUCUGGUAGUCCACGCCGUAAACGAUGAGUGCUAGGUGUUAGACCCUUUCCGGGGUUUAGUGCCGUAGCUAACGCAUUAAGCACUCCGCCUGGGGAGUACGACCGCAAGGUUGAAACUCAAAGGAAUUGACGGGGGCCCGCACAAGCGGUGGAGCAUGUGGUUUAAUUCGAAGCAACGCGAAGAACCUUACCAGGUCUUGACAUCCCUCUGACCGCUCUAGAGAUAGAGCUUUCCUUCGGGACAGAGGUGACAGGUGGUGCAUGGUUGUCGUCAGCUCGUGUCGUGAGAUGUUGGGUUAAGUCCCGCAACGAGCGCAACCCCUAUUGUUAGUUGCCAUCAUUCAGUUGGGCACUCUAGCGAGACUGCCGGUAAUAAACCGGAGGAAGGUGGAGAUGACGUCAAAUCAUCAUGCCCCUUAUGACCUGGGCUACACACGUGCUACAAUGGCUGGUACAACGAGUCGCAAGUCGGUGACGGCAAGCUAAUCUCUUAAAGCCAGUCUCAGUUCGGAUUGUAGGCUGCAACUCGCCUACAUGAAGUCGGAAUCGCUAGUAAUCGCGGAUCAGCACGCCGCGGUGAAUACGUUCCCGGGCCU